rnacentral:lncRNA from 1 species
CAAACCAAGAUACAAGAGUGAAACUUACAAAAUUAUCUUCGCUUCAUGCAAACUUUCAAUUCAUGCUCCGACAUUUUCUCAGAAAAUCUCCAAAUAACGGACGUUCAAAGGACUCGUUACAGAAGAAGAACAAAAGGGCUUAUUCUCCAAAAAAAUUUCUAGGCCCCUCUACGGGAUUGGAAAAAUAAGCUUUCACGGUAAGGCGGUGGGCGAUUCCACCAACACUUCCAAUUUCGUCCACAGCUGGGUGGUGGUUGAUUUCAGUGAGAAAGAGGAGUGAGUUUAGGGAUUUUGUGUGUGUCGGUUUCUCUUCCUCAUCGACGGUCAGUGGUUGAUUUCAGUUAGAGAGAAGAGUGAGUUUAGGGAUUUUGUGUGUCGGUUUCUCUUCCUCCUCAAUGGCCGAUGGUUGAUUUCAGAGUGGGAGAGAGAGGAAUGAGUUUAGUGAUUUUGUGUGUCGAUUUUCCUUCCUUCGUUUUGUUUUCAUUUGACGGCUUUUUUAUAGAAAAUUUAAAAGGUGAUAGUUUUUAUAAUGCACACCCAAAUUUUGACACCCAAUAAAAUUUCCUCUUUUUCAAAUGUAGAUGUGUGGAAAUCGGUUCCUACCAAAUAAGGAUGGGAGCCAAAAUUGAUUGAAGAAUAUUUUACAUUCCAAAAUUAUUGUAGAAUAGAAUAUGUAUUUAUUUCCUACUGUUUUUAGGAGAUUAAUUUUUUUCCUUACUUACAAAGUUCUGUAUAUUAAAAAUUGUAUUCCUUUCAUUGUAUCAAUUAAUUGGAAAUCAAUAUAAUUCGUUUCCUACAUGGUAUAAGAGCAGUUUUGUUUCUAACCUAACCAAUACAUGGCUAAAUCAGCCACGAUAGACAAGGACUGUAUAAUCUCUUAUUCAGAGGUAAAAGCCACCUCUGCCAUGAAUACAUGAGGAAUUGAAAAUUCAGUUCUCCAACUAUCGAUAGAGAAACUGAAUGGAAGAAACUGCAGAGAAUGGGCGUAGUCGAUAAAACUAAUAAUCAACAGAAAAGGGAAACUUGGAUAUGUAACAGACCUCAACCAACGCUGCUUUCCUUUAAAAGUGGAAGUCGGAGAAUUCGAUGGUGAGUACCUGGCUUGUCAACUCUAUGAAGCCUGUUAUCGAGAAAACAUACAUAUUUCUUCCAAUUGCAAAUGACAUCUAGGAGGCGGUCAUAGAAAUGUAUUCUAACUCAGAGAACUUCUCGAAAUUUUUUGAAAUCAAGUUGAAGUUAUGGCAAACAAAGCAAGGGGACCGUGAAGUGGCGGAUUACUACCUGGAGAUGAUCGGACUAGG